rnacentral:tRNA from 1 species
GCUCAGUGGUAAAGAAACUGCCUGCCAAGCAGGAGACCCAGGUUCGAUCCCUGG